UUAUUUUUAAUUCAUAUAGAGAACAACUAAUUAAAAAAUAUUGGAAAAAAAUAUUUUAAAGGAAUUAAUUUCUCAAUUAUGUAUGAAAAAUUAAUUAUCUGCCCUAUGAAAAUUUUAAGUGGAACCAAAAUCUCAUUCCUUAACAUCUUUAUCUUUCUCUUCUGACCAAAGCAUCGUCUUUUCUCUGUUGACAACACUUCAUUCUUUCUCUUUCCAAAAUAAGACUAAUCUUCUCCUCUCUCACAAUCUUCCUCACACCGCAUCAGGAUUUUCUUUAUGUUUAUGCGAGUAUUUCCAUUAUAGGGUUUUUAUUUUUCAUCAAUCGGUAACAACCAGUGGCAACAUUUCCACACCAAUUAUUACCUAAUAGUUGCAGUUACCUGUUUUUUAACUUUGCUUGUUGUCUUUGAUUAUUGCAUUUGAAUUGUUCAUGGAAAAUUGCUUCUAAAUGGCCUUAAUUUGGGAUCUAGUUGAGUGGUAAACCAUGUAAACACAUCUUUGGUGAAGGAACUUGGAAAAUAUUUCCUUUUCCAAUAUUCACCAUUAGCUAAAUUCCCAUAUUCAAUCUCAUAUCUAGCAAUAUGUUCAAGGCUUGGUGUGUUGCGUUAUUGUUUUCUAUGACCAGAUUAAACAUAGUGGCGAUUUUAUAGGUAAUCAUUAUCAUUCAUUUGUUGUUCGAAAGACUGCAAAAUGGUAUUUGUAACUGGAGACAUAAUUCAAUUUUCCAUUCUUGCUCAUUCUUAUAUGAUUUCAAAUACCAUAUUCUCCCAUUGCAUAUGACCCUGAAAUAGUGUUGUUGGCCACGUUUGAGGAAGGAAAUGCAAUUUGAGAGGGAGGAAUGAACCCUAGUGGAAGACAACAUGGGUGUAUUGAAUAACUUGGCCUUCAACUUGGUGAAUUCAAAGGUGGCGGAUUUGUGCUAAUUUGUCUCAACUACCCUUUCUCGUAUUUCCACCUUCACGUCCCACUGGCCGUGCCAAUUUUUUGACCAUGAAUUUUAACCACUUCAAUAAAUGAAUUCGAGGAACAAUAUAGAAUUUAAAUUAAAUCCUUAAUUGUUUGAAGUUGAUAGAUUUAUGUAACCAAUCCAAGUUUUUAUGCAAAGUAGAGUAACCAAUACAAAAGUAUAAACAAGAUCAAUCAAAUUUUAAAGAAAAUAUAACUUUAUUAAUAAGAAAAGUGAACAUACAUCAUCAUUUGAAAAGUAAGAAAAACAGAAAAUCUAAGUAAGGUAGAUGUGUGCGCAUUAUACAUACAAUUUUUUAAAUGAAAAAUACCUAAUACUGAAAAAUGACCCUCCUAUUUAUAGGCUAGAACUUAGAAUGGCUAAUCUUUAUUUUCAUGACACAUGUUAUAUUCUUGUUAACUUUCCUAACUACCUAAUGGCUUCCUUUCUAAGCCUUAUUUUCCAAUCUUCUAAGUACUUAUCUUCGAAGACUAGACAUGAAAACAAAACUCAUACUUAUACCCAUUCGAACUAGCCCUAAUUUGAUGUGAAAAAUCCACUUUGACUGAGUUUGGAUUCGAGAUGUCCUCGAUUUUAACAGACUAGGUGGGGCGGGUAAUGAUGACAAUGAUACUCGCCUCGUUUUUAUGGAAAUUACAUAAUUACCUCUCUUAAAUUAGAAAUUCUCAAAUAAAAUCCUAAGUUAGAAAACCUCUUUGUUUAAACCCUAAUGAAACCGUGAUAGUUAUAAUGACUAUACCUUUCUUUUGCUUCAUGCUUUUUUUAAUUUUGUUAAAAAAUAGACAUAAAAUAUUAUUGAAUUAGUGUUAAUGUUAGUUUCUAGGUUUUCAAUUCUAGAAAAACUAUUUUAAACUUUAGUAUCUGUAGCUCACAAAUUGAGAUACCUUCAUGGAACUAUAAUAUUUUUUUAUUACUUUAUUAGUUCAUUAUUUUAUUACUAUAAUAUUUUAUUAGUUCAUAAAAUAUUACCCUAACGUAGUAAUAUAAUUGGUUUUUUAAUUUAUAGAGUAAAACUACAUCAUCUAAUAAUGAUAAUACAUGAUUAAAAUAUGUUUUCAAUUUCAAAAUAUGUGAUAUAUUAUUUAUACAGUAUUUAAAAUUCAUGCAAGGAAAAUAUUGAAUAAUUUAGGAAAUUGUAACUAGUGAAAUUACAAUAUUGAAACGAAAAUGAAAGUACUACAUUAAGACAUAAUUAAAUAAAUAAAGUAUUUAUUUAUUUAUUUAAAGAAAAAUACAGCAUGUUUUGUCAAAAUCAAUACAUCUAAAGCACGUUUUGAUCUAAACACACUUACUUUAAACAGUAGAGCAAAAUAUGGCACAUUAUUCAUUGGUAUAUAAGGGGUUUAUUGGGUGAAACCAUAUUGUGAUAGGGUAGUAGCUGAGUUGUAUAGGAGUGGCAGUAUUUUUAUGAAGAGACUUCGAAAGUGGUUUUUUGGUGAUCGAGUGGUGGAUCUUCUAUGGGAGGUUUGAGGGGUUCGGGAUUUCCUGGAUCGGGAUUUCGUGGAUCCUCUACGGGCUCCCCGUGGGGUGGUGGCUCUAAAAUGGGUAUAAUCAUUGGUUGGGAAUCUAACUGUGGAGUGAUGAGCAUCACCACUCCAAGUACAAGUAACACUGAUGAGUAUAUAGAUGCCAUGUAUAAACUUUUUAUAAUCACAUAUGGAAAAGAAAAAACAAUCUUUAUAUAUAUAGGAAAAAACAUGGGACUAUUUUCUAGGUGCACACUCGGAUAUCUCAUGA
rnacentral:lncRNA from 1 species